ACGGCCACAUUGGGACUGAGAUACGGCCCAGACUCCUACGGGAGGCAGCAGUGGGGAAUAUUGCACAAUGGGCGCAAGCCUGAUGCAGCGACGCCGCGUGGGGGAUGACGGCCUUCGGGUUGUAAACUCCUUUCGCCAGGGACGAAGCGUCAGUGACGGUACCUGGAUAAGAAGCACCGGCUAACUACGUGCCAGCAGCCGCGGUAAUACGUAGGGUGCGAGCGUUGUCCGGAAUUACUGGGCGUAAAGAGCUCGUAGGUGGUUUGUCGCGUCGUUUGUGUAAUACCGCAGCUUAACUGCGGGGUUGCAGGCGAUACGGGCAUAACUUGAGUGCUGUAGGGGAGACUGGAAUUCCUGGUGUAGCGGUGGAAUGCGCAGAUAUCAGGAGGAACACCGAUGGCGAAGGCAG
rnacentral:rRNA from 1 species